rnacentral:rRNA from 1 species
UACGGGAGGCAGCAGUAGGGAAUCUUCCGCAAUGGGSGAAAGCCUGACGGAGCAACGCCGCGUGAGUGAUGAAGGGUUUCGGCUCGUAAAACUCUGUUAUUAGGGAAGAACAAAUGUGUAAGUAACUGUGCACAUCUUGACGGUACCUAAUCAGAAAGCCACGGCUAACUACGUGCCAGCAGCCGCGGUAA